rnacentral:rRNA from 1 species
UACAGAGGUCCCAAGCGUUUGUUCGGAUUCACUGGGCGUAAAGGGUGCGUAGGUGGUUAGGUAAGUCCGAUGUGAAAUCUCCAGGCUCAACCUGGAAAUGGCAUUGGAUACUAUUUAGCUUGAGGAGUGGAGGGGGGGACUGGAAUUCUCGGUGUAGCAGUGAAAUGCGUAGAUAUCGAGAGGAACACCAGUGGCGAAGGCGAGUCCCCUGGACACUUCCUGACACUGAGGCACGAAAAGCUAGGGGGAGCAAAACAGG